CAUUUUCCAGAUGAAGCAAAUGAAGCUCAGAGAAGUCAAGGAAUUUCCUGAUGAGUUGCAGAGCUGAAACUUAAGUCCAGUUCUGUCUGACCUUAAGGCCUGGGUCCUUAAUCAUGAUACCAAACCGGCCAGUGGAUAAACACACUUUUUCUUUCACUGUUUUAUCCUUGAAGGCAUGAACUGCCCUAAUUAAUCCUCCUCACUCCACAGGGCCUGGCACAGUGCAUGGUCUGGGAGUAUAUUGAUCAAAUGAAUUUGUGUUUGUUAGUUUGGGAGACAGAGAGUCAGGCUGCUGCUGCUGCUGCUGCUGCUGCUGCUUCUUCUUCUUUUACUUUUGUUAUAGAAAAUUUCAAACAUAUACAAAGAACAGGAAACCCAUCUAUUUACCACCCAGCUUCAAUAAUUAUCAAAUCUUAAUCAUUCUUGUUUGAUCUGUGCCCUCCAGUUGGCCUCCCCCACGUCUCUGACAUCAUAUCAUUUCACAGAGGCCUGAUUUUUAAUAAGUCUGUGAAAACAGGCAAGUUCUUUCCCUCCUCUGAUCUUUCAUUUCCUUGUUUAUAAAUUACGCUUCCCUCUCUUUCCUCAUCUAAGUUAUAUGUGUCUCAUGGAGUUGUGGUAAGAAUAAAAGCCAUUAGUGUAAAAAUGCUUGGUAAACUGUUGAAAGUCUCUGAAGGAUGGGGGGUUGCUUUUCUAUUGGCCCUGCCUCUCCAGCCUUUGGCAACCUAGCCAUCCCGCAACUUUUCUGAAUCCUGGCCCUCCCAGAGGGUCAGGCUCUCUCUGCACUGCGGUUGGGACUGCAGCUGAUUGGGUGAGAGGGUGGAUCAGGCAUAAGUUAGAUCCCAGAGCUUCCCCAAGAACCCCACACCCUCCCUUCAGGCCACCUUGAGGGUCCAGGCGAAGAAGAAGGCCACUGUAGUUGUUUCCUUCCAGGAGCCGCGAGACAAUCCAGGGCAACGAGCCCUCCACCUCCUCACCAAUAACCUUACCAGCCAAUACCUGCAGCAGGGGGCAAUCUCUGCCCAAGGGAAGGAGGAAGAAAAGAGAUGUCCUCUGAUGGAUAGGGAAAGAAACUGGCCCAAAUCACAUUCUGAUGGAAAGAUUGACUAUUUCCAGUAACUUCUGUGUACCACCAGGCAGAUUGGCAACCUUACAUAGAUCUUUAUUUUAUUAUUUUCAAAAUUACACAAUAUAUUCUCAUAGUUCAAAAUUUAUUUUGUCUAUUGGGUAAGGGAAUUGCAUCCAGAAUAUUUAAAGAACUCUUACAACUCAGUAAUAAAAGACUAAUCGCCCAAUUAAAAAUGGCAAAGCAAGGUGAUAUCCACAAAAAUGGCAGAGUGGGGAACUCUGGGAGUCUGUCCUUUGUCAAAACGGUCUGGCAAAAAUGGUCAGAGUCAACCUUUCUAGAAUUCGGGGGGACAAUCCAAGUCCAAGGCUUAGAGCAACCAAGGGAUUGCUUCACUGGGAGAAAGCCAACUUAAAUAUGUUGAGCUCUCUGUGGUGUUAUCACUUACCCCACCCCCAGCCUCCUCCCCGGCACAGAGGUGGUCUUGAAGACAACAGUCUGCAUUUCUGGUGGGGGUACUUGGCUCUGGAGAGAGCUGAGUAGAUCUUGUUCCCAAGGAAUUGUGUGUGUUGUUUUGGCUAUUUAGGUUUUCCCCAAAAGGGCUUUGUAUCACUUACCUUCUAAUGCUCUCAGGGCAGAACAGCUAUGCUAGAGGACAGUCCCUCAAAACAUUGAAAGAUGAAAGAAUGAGCAAAAAUAACAGUUGGAGCAAACAACAGAUGCAUGGAAAGACUGGGAGGAAAGAAAAGUGAGGAGUGAGAUUUGGGGGGAAUAAGGAAAAUUCCCACACACAUUAGGGAACCUAGAAAGCCACACACAUUCUGGGGCUGCCCUGGGUCUCUGCAUCCAUAUUUCAGCCUCCCCACAAACCGCCACUCCCCAAAGUAGUCAGAAGACUCCAUGAGACUUACAGGGCUCCGGGGAGCUGCAGGAUCCUCAAGGCCCCUCGCCACAUGCCCUGAAUCCCAGGCCCCUCAGGAGGAUCAGGCCCCAGGCAGGAAAUGGUGACAGUGAGCAGAGAGCAGGCCCUAUGGAGGAGAGGGUAGGAUCAAACCAAACACCUAAGAGACGGGGGUGGAAGGUGACAGGUGCCCUCUGUCCUCACCUGCCUUCAUCGCCUGCAGCCUUCAAGUACAGCGCCGAGGCCACUCUUGAGUCAGACACCUCCACCUCACUGGCAUUUUCCACUACCCUGGAGGAAGGGAGGCUGAGCUCAAUUCCCAAGCACCAGGGUCCUGUCCAGCCCCAGAACCUCUGUGUUGGAAGCUAGAUGGGAUCCCAAGAGCCUGUGAGAAUCAUCCCUAAGGUUCCAAGCUCAGUAUAUCCCCUAAAAGUCUCUCAUCUGUACGAUCUCCUUUUUCCUCCUGUUAUCUGCCCACUGAGGGAAACAGGCUAGUUGGAAUUUCUCCCAUAUUGCAGAUGGAGAAACUGAAGUUCUGCUCAGUGAGAUGCUCAGCUGUCCAAGGAUGAUAAGGACCGAGCUGAAGAGACAUAGAAGGAUAGGCUGUAGAGAGAAUAAUAUGAUGAUCCUCCAAGCUCUCAGCUUCAGCAAUUAUCAACCAAUGCUCAUAUUUACAGAAGAUAACCACCCUUAAAAAAAAAAAAAAAAGACAAUGGCUUAAUUUGGUAAGGAUGAAGAGAAAAGGGAACACCCUUACACUGUUGGACAGAAUGCAAACUGGUGUAGCCACUCUGGAAAACAGUAUGAAGUUUCCCCAAAAAGUUAAAAAUAGAACUACCUUAUAAUCCAGCAUUUGCACUACUAGGUAUUUAUCCAAACAUUAGAAACCUAGGGAUUCAAGGGGACAUGUGCACCCCAAUGUUUAUGGCAGCAAUGUCCACAAUAGCCAAACUAUGGAAAGAGCCCAGAUGCCUACUGACAGAUGAAUGGAUGGGUAUAUAUGACAUCUUCUUGAUCCAUUCAUCUGUCAGUAGACAUCUGGGCAUUGUUCUCUCUCUCUCUCUACACACACACACACACAGAGGAACAUUACUCAGCUCUCAAAAAGAAUGAAAUUUUGUCAUUUGCAAUGACAUGAAUAGAACUAGAGGAUAUUAUGCUAAGUGGAAUAAGUCAGUCAAGAGAAAGACAAAUAUGAUUUCUCUCGCAUGGAAUGUGAGAAACUGUUUAAAACAGAUGAACACAGGGAAAGGAAAGGAAAAAUAAGAUAAAAACAGAGAGGCAGGCAAACCAUAAGAGACUUAACUAUAGGAAACAAACUGAGGGUUGUUCAAGGGGAGGUGGGUGGGGGCCUAGGGUAACUGGGUGAUGAGCAUUAAGGAGGACACUUGGUGUAAUGAGCACUGGGUGUUAUAUGCAACUGAUGAAUCCUAAAUUCUACCCCGAAACUAAUAAUACACUAUCUGUUAAUUAAAUUGAAUUGAAAUUUAAAUAGAUUUUUUCUUUUUUUUUUUUUAAGAUUUUAUUUAUUUAUUUGACAGAAAGUGAGAUCACAAGUAGGCAGAGAGGCAGACAGAGAGAGAGGAGGAAGCAGGCUCCCUGCUGAGCAGAGAGCCUAUGCCAGGCUCAAUCCCAGGACCCUGAGAUCAUGACCUGAGUUGAAGGCAGAGGCUUUAACCCACUGAGCCACCCAGGCACCCCAAAAUUUAAACAUAUUUAAAGAUGCCUUAUGGAGAUAUAAUUCAUACAUCAUACAUUUUACCCACUCAAAGUAUUUCAAUGGGUUUUAUUAACACCAUUUUAGAACAUUCCCAUCACUUUAUAAAGAAAUUUUGUUUUCUCUAUUAUCACCUCUCUAACCCCACCCUACUACAAUCACUAAACAACCAUUCAUCUAUUUUCUGUCUCUAUAGAUUUGGUUAUUCUGGAUAUUCAUAUAAAACAAAUGACGUGUUCUUUUUGUGACGGGCUUCUUUCACUCAGAAUAAUGUUUUCAAGGUUCAUCCAUAUGGUAGCAUGCAUCAGGAUUUCUUUCCUUUCUAUGACUGAAUGAUUUUUCCUGACAGAGGUGAAAAGACUGGGAGGGUCGCCCUCUCUGUAAGAGGCUGCCCCGAACGGCUGGUUUGAUUCUCGAUGCUUAGCGUGAAAUAAAGCUUUGCUUGACCUUC